AUGGGCCUCGAGUCUCGGCCCGCCGCCCCCGGCGCGGCCGCGGCCGCGCAGCCCAGGCCGCAGAAGCAGAGGAAGGUGGAGGUGUCGGCGGGGGGAGGAGACAAUGAGCUGGCGCCGGUGGUCGUGAUGCUGCCGUCGAGCCGGCGCCCGCCCGCGCCCGACUCGCCCACGCACGCGCCGCGGAGCCACCACAGCGCCGACCUGCCGGCAAGGAGCCCCAGGCGGAGCCGCCUCGUGCACGCCGCCGCGUCGAGGCUGCUGGAGCCGGGCGCGCGCGCGAGCUCGAGGGCCGGCGCCAGGCUGCAGACCAUCGCUGCACAUCUUGACGCGGUGUUGCAGAUUAAAGAGAGUACUGAAUUCUUUAUUUCAAUGGAGAACAAAAUGGAAGAUCUCUUCAAUCUAGAGUCUGAAAUCGUAGAUAUGUCCAUGUCCAUCGACACAAUGAAGACUGAUGAUCACGGCAGCAAUGCAGAAAUACCAUGUGUUCAGAGUUCUCCAGAGCAUGAUUUUGAGUUCCUAGAAGGCAGGCUCCACAGCAUCAGAGAAGCCAUUGCAAAUGCUGAGCUACUUCUGGACAACAGCCUCUUCUGUGGCACACCGUCAAGUCUAUCACUCCAUUCAUUCAUCGUUGAGAUGCUGGAGACCGUUGAGGCCGUCUUUGGCGAUGGAUCAGAGAGCAGCUUCGGCUUCCAGGAAGAAAACAACUUUCAACGCACCAACUUCCUGUUUGACUGCAUCGUCAAGUCACUGGACUCGAAGUUCCGCGACUUCAGAAAAUGCGGGUACAAGGCUUUGUUGCGAAUGCCUCUCACCAUGAGCAAAGACCUGCUGAAGAGGGAGAUAUCCAAAGAGAUCGGCAGCUGGAGCGAUGUUUCAUCGGACCGUGCUGCGGAGAAGGAGCUGGACCAGGUGGCGGCGGAGAGGUGUGACGGGUGCCGGACUAAGGCGUUCGACAUCAGCGUCGCCAUCGAGGAAGACAUACUCGAGGCCCUCGUCGGUGCGUUCGCCUUCGACCAAUGCUGCUGA
rnacentral:rRNA from 1 species